ACGCACGUGUGAAACUUGAAGGAAUUGACGGAAGGGCACCACAAGAACGCGUGGAGCAUGUGGCUUAAUUUGACCCAACGCGGGAAAUCUUACCAGGUCCGAACACGCUGAGGAUUGACAGGUUUUUAUAAGACUAUAUAUAAUUAUUUUUAAUUAUAUAUAGCAAUUCUUAUAUCAAAUAUGCUAGUCCUUUCAUGAUUGCGUGAUAGGUGGUGCAUGGCCGUUCUUAGUUCGUGGAGUGAUCUGUCUGCUUAAUUGCGUUUCACUUUAAUGAGUAUAUAUUGAAUACUUUGUUUGCACAUAAAGUUGCUGCAUUGUUUUUUAACUUUGCACCUUUAUUGUUGCACGGUAUUCUUUUAAAUAGACUAUAAAG
rnacentral:rRNA from 1 species